rnacentral:tRNA from 1 species
UCCGGAAUGGUGUAGUGUAAGUCCUUCCCCUGGUGUUUCACUUCGCCGAAACGCAGACUAAUAAGUAAUCAGGGCUAGCAUUUCUGCCUCUCAUGAUCUGUAUAAAAACAGCAUAUUUGUUCGCAGGAGACCGGGGUUCAAUUCCCCGUUCCGGAA